GUCUAUGGCCAUGCCACUCUGAACAUGCCCAAUCUCGUCUGAUCUUGGAAGCUAAGCAAGGUUGAGCCUGGUUAGUACUUGGAUGGGAGAUCAGGUGCUGUAGGCA
rfam:Pteropus alecto contig10550, whole genome shotgun sequence.